rnacentral:rRNA from 1 species
UACGAAGGGGGCUAGCGUUGUUCGGAUUUACUGGGCGUAAAGCGCACGUAGGCGGAUCGAUCAGUCAGGGGGUGAAAUCCCAGAGCUCAACUCUGGAACUGCCUUUGAUACUGUCGAUCUGGAGUAUGGAAGAGGUGAGUGGAAUUCCGAGUGUAGAGGUGAAAUUCGUAGAUAUUCGGAGGAACACCAGUGGCGAAGGCGGCUCACUGGUCCAUUACUGACGCUGAGGUGCGAAAGCGUGGGGGAGCAAACAGG